rnacentral:misc_RNA from 1 species
GAUGAAGAACGUAGUGAAAUGUGAUACUUGGUGUGAAUUGCAGAAUCCCGUGAACCAUCGAGUCUUUGAACGCAAGUUGCGCCCGAAGCCAUUAGGCCGAGGGCACGCCUGCCUGGGCGUCACACGUCGUUGCCCCCCCAUCUACUCCUUCGGGAUUGCGGGGGGCGGAUGAUGGCCUCCCGUGCGCCUCGUCGCGCGGUUGGCAUAAAUGCCAAGUCCUCGGCGACGCACGCCACGACAAUCGGUGGUUGCGAAACCUCGGUUGCCCGUCGUGUGCGGUCGUCGCGCAUCGAGGGCUCGAAAAAAUUGCCGGGCUCCGGCUCGGCUUUCAACGCGACCCCAGGUCAGGCGGGGUUACCCGCUGAAUUUAAGCAUAUCAAUAAGCGGAGGA